rnacentral:lncRNA from 1 species
ACUAAAAAGAAUGAAUUUAUGAAAUUCUUAGGUAAAUGGAUGUAUCUGGAGGAUAUCAUCCUGAGUGAGGUAACCCAAUCACAAAAGAACUCACAUGAUAUAUACUCAUAAGUGGAUAUUAGCCCAGAAAUGUAAAAUACACAAGAUACAAUUUGCAAAACACAAGAAAAUCAAGAAUAAGGAAGACCAACAUGUGAAUACUUCAUUCCCCCUUAGAAUAGGGACCAAAUACCCAUGGAAGGAGAUACAGAGACAAAGUUUGAAGGUAAGAGGAAAGGAUGGACCAUCCAGAGACUACUCCACCCAGAGAUCCAUCGCAUAAUCAGCCACCAAAGGUCUGCAGGACUCCAUAAGCCUCAUCCUCUUCCUGUGUGUUUCCACAUCACCAAGAGAAGAGAAAACUUUGGUCUCAGUGAAAGGGGUGAAAGAGUUCGUUUCUGGAGAAGGAACUAGGCGAGGAGGAACUAGGCGCUGGUGCAAUAAUGUACUCAGGCACAUUGCCCAGCCUCUUCAUGCUGUUUACAAAGGGACUCAGGGGUAAAAAAAAGGAAACUUCCAGUCCCAGAUACUCUGAGUGAUGGCUACAAAGAGUCACAAAGAUGAUUCCGUCUAUUUGAGAACAUCCUCAAGCAGAUAGUCUGAGGCGCCCUUCCUUCCGAGGCAGAGUGCUUGGACCAGCUAGGAAGACAGCUGACACGCCUUAUCUAGCUGCUUAUCUGGGACCUUGUGGACUGCCCUUGGAAACAGAACCAAAUCUGCCUAAUCAAAAUGGAUGCAACAUGGACAAAAUGGCAUGCCUCUGCAUCUGUGGGGUCUCUGUACUGCAGCAGAGGCAAACAGUCCCAAAGAAAAUAGUCCAAGCACAAUAGAAACUCUACUGAAAACAGAUGAGUGUUAAGAAAUAAAUUUGGAACAACCCCUUUCGUCAUUAAUAAGUAUCAGUCAGUGGAUUGUAUGCUUAGCUCUUGAAAUAUCUGCA